rnacentral:rRNA from 1 species
CUACGGGACGCAGCAGUGGGGAAUUUUGGACAAUGGGCGAAAGCCUGAUCCAGCCAUUCCGCGUGAGUGAUGAAGGCCUUCGGGUUGUAAAGCUCUUUCAGCCGGGAAGAAAUCGUGCAGGCUAAUAUCCUGCAUGGAUGACGGUACCGGACCAAGAAGCACCGGCUAACUACGUGCCAGCAGCCGCGGUAAUACGUAGGGUGCGAGCGUUAAUCGGAAUUACUGGGCGUAAAGCGUGCGCAGGCGGAUGUUUAAGCCAGAUGUGAAAUCCCCGGGAUUAACCUGGGAAUGGCAUUUGGAACUGGACAUCUAGAGUGUGUCAGAGGGGGGUGGAAUUCCACGUGUAGCAGUGAAAUGCGUAGAGAUGUGGAGGAACACCGAUGGCGAAGGCAGCCCCCUGGGAUAACACUGACACUCAUGCACGAAAGCGUGGGGAGCAAACAGGAUUAGAUACCCGAGUAGUC